rnacentral:rRNA from 1 species
UACGGGGGGUGCGAGCGUUGUCCGGAAUCACUGGGCGUAAAGGGCGCGUAGGUGGCCUGAUAAGGGUGUGGUGAAAGUCCGGGGCUCAACCCCGGGUCGGCCGUGCGAACUGGGGGGCUGGAGCACUGUAGAGGCAGGCGGAAUUCCGGGUGUAGCGGUGGAAUGCGUAGAGAUCCGGAAGAACACCGGUGGCGAAGGCGGCCUGCUGGGCAGUUGCUGACACUGAGGCGCGAAAGCGUGGGGAGCAAACAGG